rnacentral:tRNA from 1 species
AAGCUUGUAGCUCAGUGGCAGAGCAGUACAUUGAUAAUGUAUUGGCCAAAGGUUCAAUUCCUUUCAGGCUUA